GGAUCCAGACUUUGAUUCUGGCUCAGGAUGAACGCUAGCUACAGGCUUAACACAUGCAAGUCGAGGGGAAACGAUAGAGAAAGCUUGCUUUUUCUAGGCGUCGACCGGCGCACGGGUGAGUAACGCGUAUCCAACCUGCCCAUCACUUGGGGAUAACCCUGCGAAAGUAAGACUAAUACCCAAUGAUAUCUCUAGAAGACAUCUGAAAGAGAUUAAAGAUUUAUCGGUGAUGGAUGGGGAUGCGUCUGAUUAGCUUGUUGGCGGGGUAACGGCCCACCAAGGCGACGAUCAGUAGGGGUUCUGAGAGGAAGGUCCCCCACAUUGGAACUGAGACACGGUCCAAACUCCUACGGGAGGCAGCAGUGAGGAAUAUUGGUCAAUGGGCGAGAGCCUGAACCAGCCAAGUAGCGUGCAGGAAGACGGCCCUAUGGGUUGUAAACUGCUUUUAUAAGGGAAUAAAGUGGGAGUCGUGACUCCUUUUGCAUGUACCUUAUGAAUAAGGACCGGCUAAUUCCGUGCCAGCAGCCGCGGUAAUACGGAAGGUCCGGGCGUUAUCCGGAUUUAUUGGGUUUAAAGGGAGCGUAGGCCGGAGAUUAAGCGUGUCGUGAAAUGUAGACGCUCAACGUCUGCACUGCAGCGCGAACUGGUUUCCUUGAGUACGCACAAAGUGGGCGGAAUUCGUGGUGUAGCGGUGAAAUGCUUAGAUAUCACGAAGAACUCCGAUUGCGAAGGCAGCUCACUGGAGCGCAACUGACGCUGAAGCUCGAAAGUGCGGGUAUCGAACAGGAUUAGAUACCCUGGUAGUCCGCACGGUAAACGAUGGAUGCCCGCUGUUGGUCUGAAUAGGUCAGCGGCCAAGCGAAAGCAUUAAGCAUCCCACCUGGGGAGUACGCCGGCAACGGUGCAACUCAAAUGAAUUGACGG
rnacentral:rRNA from 1 species